rnacentral:lncRNA from 1 species
AUGGGGGCAGAGCCAGAUUCUGCGCAGGACCUUGGGGAGGAUGAAUUCGGGGUAGCGGGUUUCCCGCCCUGCAGAAACAGGAGGGUCACGCCUUCCAGCCCGAGGCGUCCCGUUGCCCGCAAGGCGAGGAGCGGCAGGCUGCGUCCCCGAGCCCGGCCUCCCGGGCUGAGACCCUGCACGUGGCAGCCCCCCGCCGGGCCCGCGCUCCUGGGAGCGGCCGCCCGGCACAGGGCGAGGGUCUCGGGACGCGUCUCCGCGGGGAUGGCGGCCAGCCCUCCGCCUGCGCGCCCCAGAGCUGCGUCCGGAGCCGGGGCCGCGCCUGUGCGCCCUCGGCCCCGCGCGCCCCCGCCGCGCGCGCCCCCGCCGAGCGGCGCCGAGGAGACUGACCUGGCGGUCCGGCGCCGGCACGACGGGCGGAGGGCUCGGGGCGCGCGCGCACGUGGGCCCGGCGCGCAUGGGCGGCCCCGGCCCCCGGGCGCGCGGCCGGCCGCCGGUCACGUGGGCGGCGGGGCCCAAUGGGAGCGCUCCCCACGCCGCGGUCACGCGCCCCGGCGGCUCCGCGGGGCGGGAAGGGGCGUGUGGGACGGCGGACAGCGGGCGCAAGGGUGGGUUUGCCCAAAAGUGAGGAUGAAAAGGGCGUGUGCGCCAGGGCGGAGGGAGGGGAUCCGGAGGCCGGGGGUUACAGGAAACUUCUGCAGUCCUCAGUUUCCCCCAUGUCGAUCGAGGCUGAGCCCCACGUGCACGGGCGGGGUUGCUGGGAGCGCGUGGCCUGGAUGGUGCUUACAAGGGGGCCACACACAGAGGCACGCAGAAAGUGGCUGCUGUCCCUCUGAGGGCCGGUGGUGGGAAGUGGGGUCGCGUGGACGGACCCCCCCUGAGCGCCUGCGCUCCGCCACGCCUCCGUACCACGCUGCCACGUGGGGGGCCGGCCGUUCCCGCCCCCAGCCAGCCCCUGGGGAGAUCUUAGGGUGCCCCUUGGGGAGUGCGGAGGGGGUUCCCUGUGGGUCAGCCCUUCCUAGGAAGGCUUAUGGCUAG